UACUCAGAAGUCUGAGGAGGAGGAUAGUUUAAGACCAGGAGUGUGAGGCCUGCCUGGGCAGCUCGGUGACACUUUGUCCCGCACUGAAAGAGAAGUCAGUAAGUGGAAGGAAGAAAUGGCUUCCAUGUUCCCUGCAUGCGGUCUGGCUAUGCCCAGCACUGUGACUGUCAGGACCACAGGGAAAUGAGGGCAGCCGACAACCCAGUAUGUCAAAGGUGGCGAGCAGGAAUCGUGAAGAACCUGCACCCUUGUGAACACCAACAGGAAGCAUCUUGUUCAGUCCUCUCUCCCCAGAGCCUAGGAAAACAUUGAGCACACUCCUAGGGAAUCAGUCAGCAUUUGUUAACUCACCAAAAAUACACAAGAAAUAAUGUGCUGGCUACCACACCAACCUG
rnacentral:lncRNA from 1 species